UCCAGGCUGAUCUCUCCAUCCUUCUGGGAGACCCUCACCCUGAAGACAUUCCAAGCAGCCCUCCUGAGAGCAGCCCCUCCCAGCCAGACCUACAGCACGCGCUGGUGCCUGUGGAGAGGAAGCUGGUUCCGGUUAGGAGGCCAGUCUGGAGCCACUUCUGCCUGUGCCCCCUGCACCCCCAACCCCAGCAGCUCAGGGUCAGGCGGCAUCCGCUGAUUCCCACGCCUGUCCUGGGUCUCCUGCUGCUGCUGCUGCUCUCCGUCCUGCUGCUGGGCCAGCCCCCGCCCCCCACCUGGCCCCACCUCCAGCUCUGCUACCUCGGCCCUCCCCCAGUGUGAGCCAUGCUCCCCGCCCCUCAGAGUAACGUCUAGUUCAGUGAAUUCCUGGGACUCUUUUUACUGUUAUUCCUGUUGUUGUGCCACUGUUAUCAAGACCCCAGAUGCAGUUCAGUACUCCAGGAUCCACGCCCCGGAAUGGGGUCUUUAUGUGAAGUCUCUUGGCUUUGUGAUGGUUUUUACUACAUUUCUUGAUAACAGCAAAACGUGUCCAAUAAUGGAGUAAGUGCUAGGGGUUUAUUGUCCUCACAAAACAAGCCUGGAGAACAGCACGAGGCCCACGGCUCAGUCUCCACAGCCUCUGGCUAGGGCGCUGAGUCUGUGACCCUCCUGGCCCCUCUCGUGCUCAGGGGAUGGCGGACAUUGUGGCUUCAUACAUCGUCUCUGCGGACAGAAGGCGAUGUGGCCCUUCUUUUGUAUAAAGAAAAGCAGUAGCCUUCCCAGAGCCAGCAGCAGACCUGUGUUUAUAUCUUGUUGGCCAGACUGUUUGGCAUCAUCACCCCGCGCUGCAAGGAGACCAAGUGCCUCUCCUGGCAGAAAGAGGGAGGAGAUGUGGGCCAGGCACACACCACAGAUGUCCGUCCGCUACAUGCAAACAGCCAGGAAGGGGACCAGGUGCCAUUUUUUCACUCCACAAACACAUAGUGAUCUUCUAGUUGCCACAGCUAGACCUUAAAAGAUAAAGCUUAGAGAAACAGGCCCUCCAAUGUCAGGCUGUGGAGCGUUCAUUUUCCCCAAGGAUGAUGGGAGGUUUGAGAGGUUUUGUUGCUUGUUUUUGGUUAUUGAUGUCUUAAUUGAGGUGUAACUUACAUACAGAUAAAUGGACAAAUCUUAAGUAUCAGCUGGAUGAAUUUUUGCAUAUGUAAGCCUUCCAAACUAAAACCCGACCCAGGUCAAGAUAUAGACCAGUCUCAGCACCACAGAGGUUUCCAUGGGAGAGUUUUGAGCAAGGGUGGGACAGAAUCACACCCCAAAAAGGCACCUGACUCAGCUUGGAGGCUAGAGGUUUCUUCCCAGAUCCAUGACAUCUGUUCAGUCUUGAAAGGUGGGUGAAGUUGGCUACAAUAAGCAGGGCCUGAGGAGGAUGCUGCAGGCAGAGGAAGUAAAUAUGUGUGAAAACGGGGUGGGAAAGAUCCCCUCCCUGUGUGGAGAGCCAUUGGCAGCACCGUGCUGCUGGGAUUAAAACUAAAAGAGCCCGGCCAGCGUGGCUCAGUGGUUGAGCAUCAACCUAUGAACCAGGAGGUCACGGUUCAAUUCCCGG